GGAUGCGAUCAUACCAGCACUAAAGCACCGGAUCCCAUCAAAAUUGCGAAGUUAAGCUUGCUUGGGCAAGAGUAGUAAUAGGAUGGGUGACCUCCUGGGAAGUCCUCGUGUUGCAUUCC
rnacentral:rRNA from 3 species